rnacentral:tRNA from 1 species
UAAAAAGUGGUGUAGAGGAAGCACGAAGGGUUUUGAUCUCCUCGGGGUAGGUUCCAGUCCUAUUUUUUUA